AUGCAUCUCUCCAAAUAAAUUUUGAUAAGAACUGCAAACCAGAUGUUAAGCCAAUCAUAGAGGAAAACAAUUAAAGAGUAUUUUCAGCUUUUGGAGACCCUUGCCAAUUUGGCUUUGCAGACAGCGAAUUAGAAAAACCUCAGGCAUGGACUGGAUGACAGCACCGGGCCCCCAGACCUUCCUCUAUCCCAGGAACUUGCUGGGAAAUGCUGCAAAAGUCUGGAUCCAACCUGCCCAGCUCGGAACUGGAGAGCAACAACUGACUUUGAAUCAGCAUCGAUGGCACCAUCUGAAAUCUCCAAAGCCCUCCACAGCCUGCUGGAUCCAAAUAAAUGUGUUGCAGAAAGGCGCUGCUCUUUUUUCUGAUUGCUGUCAAACACAGAAUCUGACAGACACAAACAAGAAAAAGUAAUUUAAAAAAACCCAAAUACUAGACAUGAAAAAAAAUCCCAGCCAGACAAAAUCAAAACAAAAACCUGAAGGAAAUCCCGAACUAAUCUGCAAAAACCUGGAACAGUGCAAGGUUUCAGGAUGUGCUCUGCAAAGUGCAGUUUUCAAUAUGAUUAAG
rnacentral:lncRNA from 1 species